rnacentral:rRNA from 1 species
CGGACGGUGAGUAACGCGUGGGUAACCUGCCUCAUACAGGGGGAUAACAGUUAGAAAUGACUGCUAAUACCGCAUAAGCGCACGGGACUGCAUGGUCCAGUGUGAAAAACCGAGGUGGUAUGAGAUGGACCCGCGUCUGAUUAGCUGGUUGGCGGGUAACGGCCCACCAAAGCGACGAUCAGUAGCCGGCCUGAGAGGGUGAACGGCCACAUUGGGACUGAGACACGGCCCAAACUCCUACGGAAGGCAGCAG